rnacentral:rRNA from 1 species
GACGAACGCUGGCGGCGUGCCUAAUACAUGCAAGUUGAGCGCUGAAGGUUGGUACUUGUACCAACUGGAUGAGCAGCGAACGGGUGAGUAACGCGUGGGGAAUCUGCCUUUGAGCGGGGGACAACAUUUGGAAACGAAUGCUAAUACCGCAUAAAAACUUUAAACACAAGUUUUAAGUUUGAAAGAUGCAAUUGCAUCACUCAAAGAUGAUCCCGCGUUGUAUUAGCUAGUUGGUGAGGUAAAGGCUCACCAAGGCGAUGAUACAUAGCCGACCUGAGAGGGUGAUCGGCCAAAUUGGGACUGAGACACGGCCCAAAAUCCUACGGGAGGCAGCAGUAGGGAAUCUUCGGCCAUGGACGAAAGUCUGAACGAGCAACGCCGCGUGAGUGAAGAAGGGUUUCGGAUCGUAAAACUCUGUUGGUAGAGAAGAAAGUUGGUGAGAGUGGAAAGCUCAUCAAGUGACGGUAACUACACAGAAAGGGACGGCUAACUACGUG